rnacentral:rRNA from 1 species
AACGAACGCUGGCGGCAUGCCUAACACAUGCAAGUCGAACGAGACCUGCGGGUCUAGUGGCGCACGGGUGCGUAACGCGUGGGGAUCUGCCCUUUGCUUCGGAAUAACAGUUAGAAAUGACUGCUAAUACCGGAUGAUGACUUCGGUCCAAAGAUUUAUCGGCAAAGGAUGAACCCGCGUAGGAUUAGCUAGUUGGUGGGGUAAAGGCCUACCAAGGCGACGAUCCUUAGCUGGUCUGAGAGGAUGAUCAGCCACACUGGGACUGAGACACGGCCCAGACUCCUACGGGAGGCAGCAGUGGGGAAUAUUGGACAAUGGGCGAAAGCCUGAUCCAGCAAUGCCGCGUGAGUGAUGAAGGCCUAGGGUUGUAAAGCUCUUUUACCCGGGAUGAUAAUGACAGUACCGGGAGAAUAAGACUCCGGCUAACUCCGUGCCAGCAGCCGCGGUAA